rnacentral:rRNA from 1 species
AUGCAUGCUUGCUAUGACCUUGAGGUAGAUGCUUAUGCUCUUGUCACACAUAUUUGCAUCUCUACCACACGUUUACAUGCUUGUUUCCAUGAUGACCUUGAUUUUGCUCAAUUCAUAUGCUUACAUGCCAUGUCACAAUCCUUUGUCACAACCUAUGCUAUGCUUGAUGACAACACUUGUUUGGUGAAGCACCUCUUGAAUGCUUGGUUUUGCACUAACGCUAACCACAUUUGUUUUUCCAAGUGUUUGUUCUAUUUGCUCCUUUUGAAGGAAUCACAAGACGGUGCAACAUUGGAGAGUGCCUAUUUCGAGAUUCAAGAUGAUGAGUGCUUGGUGAUCGACAACUUCGACACGGCACCACCAUCUCUUUCCCAUGGUGAUUUGGUUUUUGAUCCGAGGUCGGAUCUUUUCCAAGGGGGAGGGGAUAAUGCGGAGCAUCCUACAGUCAUCACCAUGUCAAGAGUCCAUUUGGCAAGUGACACGUGCGACCUCUACUUCUCAUACAUAAAGGUGAAUCUUCUCCUUUACACGUGCUCACUUGACCCCUUCGAGGAUGGUGUACUACUUGACACUUCUCCCGUGUGCAUGCAUAGGUAUUGUCGGAGCUUCACGGAUGUUAAGGAGGAGUGCAAGCGCCAAGGAACGACUACACCAUCCGCGAGGGAGGCAUGGAAGAGAAGACGGAAGAAACGGAUCUUCUAUGAUCUACAGCCACCGGACGACCGGACAACACAGAACGUCUGA